CCAUGAAACACAAAGAAGCGAUCCAGAGACCGUUAUGACUGAAUAUCUUCCAACCUAGACCAGUUAUCCAGGAUCUCCUCUGUGAUAAGAAGAGAUCACAACAACAUUAGGAGAUGAGUAGAGAAAACACAUAAAAUUCAAUACUUUGGGAAUCAAAAUAUAAGUAUAGAGGAGUAUACUGAAUAGAGAUCCAUCUUUCGUCCUAAGACACAUAUGGGAACAUAUCCAUCCGAGGACCAACAGUCUUUGAGUUUUAUUCUCCUUUACCAUCGCUAUCUCGAGUUCCAUCAGCUAGACGAACUAAAUGAUUGUUAAAUUUCGUUAACAAACCAGCAAAUUUUUUAUUUUUAAGGAAGCAAAGAGAUGUUAACUUUUCAAGAACAAAGAGAAGAAAGCUUACGCACGUUCACAUCUACCGAGCUGAUUAACCGCAUCAACGAACGAACGCCUCGUCAAGUUUUAGUAUCCAAAGCAUGCGAUGUUAAAUGUUACUUACACUGAGAUCCUCUUUCGAUGUGAUGAUUAAUUAACAUACUGAACCUGUGUACAAAUACAGAAAACAUAUACACUAAAGAAACGGAACCUGUGAGUUUGGACUUGUGGACUUGGAUCGACAUUGGCUUAUAUAGAAUAAGAGAGUGGAUUCAUAUCGUCGGUUUGUAUGUUUUGAAGGAGUUAUAAUGGCUGAAUUGAUGAAAGAGGGUGAAGAAACGAUUCAUAAUCGCCGAUUGAAUUGUAGGUUUUUUUCUUUUCGUUGGAUGACAUGGAUUUUAAAGCU
rnacentral:lncRNA from 1 species